rnacentral:rRNA from 1 species
UACGGAGGAUCCGAGCGUUAUCCGGAUUUAUUGGGUUUAAAGGGUGCGUAGGCGGAUUGGUAAGUCAGUGGUGAAAACCUGCAGCUUAACUGCAGAAUUGCCGUUGAUACUAUCAGUCUUGAGUACAGUUGGAGUGGAUGGAAUUUGUCAUGUAGCGGUGAAAUGCUUAGAUAUGACAAAGAACACCGAUCGCGAAGGCAGUUCACUAAACUGUAACUGACGCUGAGGCACGAAAGCGUGGGGAU